rnacentral:rRNA from 1 species
AGAGUUUGAUCCUGGCUCAGAAUCAACGCUGGCGGCGUGCCUAACACAUGCAAGUCGAACGAGAAAGUGGUAGCAAUACCAUGAGUAAAGUGGCGCACGGGUGAGUAACACGUGACUAACCUACCCUGGAGUGGGGGGAUAACUGAGGGAAACCUUAGCUAAUACCGCAUAAUACCCACGGGUCAAAGGAGCAAUUCGCUCUGGGAGGGGGUCGCGGCCGAUUAGUUAGUUGGCGGGGUAACGGCCCACCAAGACGAUGAUCGGUAUCCGGCCUGAGAGGGCGCACGGACACACUGGAACUGAAACACGGUCCAGACUCCUACGGGAGGCAGCAGUGGGGAAUUUUGCGCAAUGGGGGAAACCCUGACGCAGCAACGCCGCGUGGAGGAUGAAGUCCUUCGGGACGUAAACUCCUUUCGAUCGGGACGAUUAUGACGGUACCGGAAGAAGAAGCCCCGGCUAACUUCGUGCCAGCAGCCGCGGUAAUACGAGGGGGGCGAGCGUUGUUCGGAAUUAUUGGGCGUAAAGGGUGCGUAGGCGGUUUGGUAAGUCUUAUGUGAAAUCUAUGGGCUCAACUCAUAGACUGCAUGAGAAACUGCCGGGCUUGAGUGUGGGAGAGGUGAGUGGAAUUCCCGGUGUAGCGGUGAAAUGCGUAGAUAUCGGGAGGAACCCUGUGGCGAAAGCGGCUCACUGGACCAUAACUGACGCUGAUGUACGAAAGCUAGGGGAGCAAACAGGAUUAGAUACCCCUGUAGUCC